rnacentral:rRNA from 1 species
CCCUUAGAUGUUCUGGGCCGCACGCGCGCUACACUGAUGCAUUCAACGAGCCUAGCCUUGGCCGAGAGGUCCGGGUAAUCUUUGAAACUGCAUCGUGAUGGGGCUAGAUUAUUGCAAUUAUUAAUCUUCAACGAGGAAUGCCUAGUAAGCGUGAUUCAUCAAAUCGCGUUGAUUACGUCCCUGCCCUUUGUACACACCGCCCGUCGCUCCUACCGAUUGAGUGUGUUGGUGAGGAGUUUGGAUUGGCCUCGGAAGGUGGUUCGCCACCGUCCGUAGCUGAGAAGUUCUCCAAACCGCCCCACUUAGAGGAAGGAGAAGUCGUAACA